rnacentral:rRNA from 1 species
UACGGAGGGUGCAAGCGUUAUCCGGAUUCACUGGGUUUAAAGGGAGCGUAGGUGGGUUGGUAAGUCAGUGGUGAAAUCCCCGAGCUUAACUUGGGAACUGCCAUUGAUACUAUCAGUCUUGAAUAUUGUGGAGGUCAGCGGAAUAUGUCAUGUAGCGGUGAAAUGCUUAGAGAUGACAUAGAACACCAAUUGCGAAGGCAGCUGGCUACACAUAUAUUGGCACUGAGGCUCGAAAGCGUGGGGAUCAAACAGG